rnacentral:rRNA from 1 species
UUUCGAAUCAUUCACAAUGGGCGCAAGCCUGAUGGUGCGACGCCGCGUGAGGGAUGAAGGCCUUCGGGUUGUAAACCUCUGUCACUGGGGAGAAAACGCUUUGAGUUAAUAGCUCAAAGCCUGAUUUAACCCGGAGAGGAAGCAGUGGCUAACUCUGUGCCAGCAGCCGCGGUAAUACAGAGACUGCAAGCGUUAUUCGGAUUCACUGGGCGUAAAGGGUGCGCAGGCGGCCGAGUGUGUUAGAUGUGAAAUCCCGGGGCUCAACCCCGGAACUGCGUCUAAAACUACUUGGCUAGAGUAUUGGAGAGGGUAGCGGAAUUCACGGUGUAGCAGUGAAAUGCGUAGAUAUCGUGAGGAACACCAGAGGCGAAGGCGGCUACCUGGACAAUUACUGACGCUCAGGCACGAAAGCGUGGGGAGCAAAAGGGAUUAGAUACCCCCGUAGUCC